GGGAUGUCCAAGAAGCCUGUGUCUAUGAUCAAUAUACUCUUCCUAAGCUUUAUGCGAAGAUGCAGUACUGUGUUUCCUGUGCUAUUCACUCACAUGUUGUGAGAGUUCGAUCUCGUACUGAUAGAAGAAAUCGGCAACCACCACAACGUUUCAUCAGACGCAGGGAGGAUCAGGCAAAACCUGGUCAGCCAGGGCAAGCACCUCGUCCUGUUGGAGCUGGAAAUCCUGCCCGUGUAUAAAAGAAACCUUUCCAUGGCUUCUACGAGUAAGUCGUAGGGAUCUUUUACAAGUCGCUCUAUUAUAGUUUGGUUGUUUCUUUUGUGGAUGAAAGUGAAAUUUAGAAACAAACUUAGCUGACAAUUUUGCAACUUGGAAGGAACUAAAGACCGU
rnacentral:misc_RNA from 1 species